AGCAGCCGCGGUAAUUCCAGCUCCAAUAGCGUAUAUUAAAGUUGUUGCAGUUAAAAAGCUCGUAGUUGAAUUUCGGGAUCAAUUUAUUGGUCGUGCUAUUGUACGUACUGGUAUUAUUGAUUUCUACCUUCUGACGAACCAUGAUGUCAUUAAUUUGGUGUCAUGGGGAAUCAGGACUGUUACUUUGAAAAAUUAGAGUGUUUAAAGCAGGCUCACGCUUGAAUACAUUAGCAUGGAAUAACGAAAUAGGACGUUUGAUUCUAUUUUGUUGGUUUCUAGGAUCGACGUAAUGAUUAAUAGGGAUAGUUGGGGGCAUUAGUAUUCAAUUGUCAGAGGUGAAAUUCUUGGAUUUAUUGAAGACUAACUACUGCGAAAGCAUUUGCCAAGGAUGUUUUCAUUAAUCAAGAACGAAAGUUAGGGGAUCGAAGACGAUCAGAUACCGUCGUAGUC
rnacentral:rRNA from 1 species